CCUACGGGUGGCAGCAGUGAGGAAUAUUGGUCAACGGACGAGAGUCUGAACCCUCCCCUUCUCUUUCCUUCUUCCUUCCCUCUUUUUUUUCCCCUUCUUUUCUCCCGGAAUAAAACGAGGCACGUGUGCCUUUUUGCAUGUACUUUAUGAAUAAGGAUCGGCUAACUCCGUGCCAGCAGCCGCGGUAAUACGGAGGAUCCGAGCGUUAUCCGGAUUUAUUGGGUUUAAAGGGAGCGUAGAUGGGGUGUUAAGUCAGUUGUGAAAGUUUGCGGCUCAACCGUAAAAUUGCAAUUGAUACUGGCAGUCUUGAGUACAGUUGAGGUAGGCGGAAUUCGUGGUGUAGCGGUGAAAUGCUUAGAUAUCACGAAGAACCCCGAUUGCGAAGGCAGCUUACUAAACUGUGACUGACAUUGAUGCUCGAAAGUGUGGGUAUCAAACAGGAUUAGAUACCCUAGUAGUC
rnacentral:rRNA from 1 species